rnacentral:rRNA from 1 species
GUGUUCGAGUUUGCCAUUCGUUUGGCCUUUUCGAGUUCGCUUUUGGGUUUUCCCUUUUUACUUUGAAAAAAUUAGAGUGUUUCAAGCAGACUUUUGUCUUGAAUACUUCAGCAUGGAAUAAUAGAGUAGGACUUUGGUUCUAUUUUGUUGGUUAUUGAACCUUAGUAAUGGUUAAUAGGAACGGUUGGGGGCAUUCGUAUUUAACUGUCAGAGGUGAAAUUCUUAGAUUUGUUAAAGACGAACUACUGCGAAAGCAUUUGCCAAGGGCGUUUCCAUUAAUCAAGAACGAAAGUUAGGGGAUCGAAGACGAUCAGAUAUCGUCGUAGUCCUAACCAUAAACCAUGCCGACUAGUGAUUGGAGGUCGUCGUUUUGCUGACCCCUUCAGGAACUUGAGAGAAAUCAAAGUCUUUGGGUUCUGGGG